rnacentral:rRNA from 1 species
UACGUAGGCAGCGAGCGUUGUCCGGGGUCACUGGGCGUCAAGCGCGCGCAGGCGGCAACCUCAGGGUCGUGUGAAAGCCCCCGGCUCAACCGGGGGAGGCCAUGGCAAACUGGGUCGCUCGAGCUGCGGAGAGGCCCCUCUAAUUGCCGGUGUAGCGGUGAAAUGCGUAGAGAUCGGCAGGAAGACCAAGGGGGAAGCCAGGGGGCUGGCCGCAGGCUGACGCUGAGGCGCGACAGCGUGGGGAGCAAACCGG